rnacentral:rRNA from 1 species
UUCGAUGCAACGCGAAGAACCUUACCUGGUCUUGACAUCCCGGAGACCCUUAGGAAACUAGGGGUGCUUCCAUCUGGAGAAUCUGGAGACAGGUGCUGCAUGGCUGUCGUCAGCUCGUGUCGUGAGAUGUUGGGUUAAGUCCCGCAACGAGCGCAACCCUUGCCUUUAGUUGCCAGCAGUUCGGCUGGGCACUCUAAAGGGACUGCCGGUGUUAAACCGGAGGAAGGUGGGGAUGACGUCAAGUCCUCAUGGCCUUUAUGACCAGGGCUACACACGUACUACAAUGGCCGAUACAAAGGGCAGCGACACUGCGAGGUGAAGCCAACCCCGUAAAAUCGGUCUCAGUCCGGAUUGGAGUCUGCAACUCGACUCCAUGAAGUUGGAAUCGCUAGUAAUCGUGGAUCAGCAUGCCACGGUGAAUACGUUCCCGGGCCUU